UACGGAGGAUGCGAGCGUUAUCCGGAAUCAUUGGGUUUAAAGGGUGCGUAGGCUGGUAUUUAAGUCAGUGGUGAAAUUUUCGUGCUUAACAUGAGAGCUGCCAUUGAUACUGAGUACCUAGAGUGUAUUUGAUGUGGGCGGAAUGUGUUGUGUAGCGGUGAAAUGCUUAGAUAUGACACAGAACACCGAUAGCGAAGGCAGCUCACAAAAGU
rnacentral:rRNA from 1 species